rnacentral:rRNA from 1 species
GACGAACGCUGGCGGCGUGCUUAACACAUGCAAGUCGAACGGAAAGGCCCUUCUUUCUGUGUACUCGAGUGUCGAACUGGUGUGUAACACGUGGGUGUUCUGCCCUUCACUUCUUGUUAAGCUUUGGAAACUGUUUCUAAUUCCGGAUAGGAACCUUCUUUAGUUUUGUGGUUGGUAAGUUUUUUCGGUGUUGGAUGAGCUCGCGUCCUAUCAGCUUGUUGGUGGGGUUAUGGCCUACCAAGGCGGCGACGGGUAGCCGGCCUGAGAGGGUGUACGGCCAAAAUGGGAAUGAGAGAAGGCCCAGACGCCGAAGGGAGGAAGCAGUGGGGAAUAUUGAAAAAUGGGCGCAAGCCUGAUGCAGCGAAGCCGAGGGGGGGAUGAAGGCCUUCGGGUUGUAAAAUACUUUCGCUAGGGAAGAAGCUUUUUGUGACGGUACCUAGAUAAGAAGCACCGGCUAACUACGUG